rnacentral:sRNA from 1 species
UGGAAAUUGGUCUGUAAUUGGUAACCUC